rnacentral:lncRNA from 1 species
GUCGGCGUCGUCCACAAAUAUUCACUCUGUGGUUAAAGUUUUUGAAAUUUUAAUAACUUUCUUAAAAUAUCCUGGAUUUUUACCAAACUUGGACAGAAGCUUGUUUAUGAUCAUAAGUUAGUAUCCAGAAGUAAAUUUUGUAAAAAUAAAAUUCCAUUUUUUCCGUAUUUUACUUAUAAAUGGACUUAGUUUUUCUACUGGGAAAUAUUACAUUCACUCUGUGGUUAAAGUUUUUAAAAUUUUAAUGACUUUCUUAAACUAUCCUUGGUUGGUACCAAACAUGGACAGAAGCUUGUUUAUGAUCAUAAGAUAGUAUCCAGAAGUAAAUUUUGUAAAAAAGAUAAAUCCAUUUUUCCAAAUUUAACUUUUAAAUGGACUUAGAUUUUCUGCCAGGAAAC